rnacentral:lncRNA from 1 species
UCCUUAAUGUGGGUGGCGUAUCAGAACAGAAAAAAAUGGUUAUAUGUAAGGGAACAUUUCUAUAUCUCACAAUGACCAGUCUAUGGUAGAUGAGAGAAUCUAUGAUCCAACAAUAGUGAAUAUACCUGCGGAGUGUAGAUGAACGAUGGGUUAAAAAUCUACGUUUACAAAAGAUCUACUCCCUCCGAUCCAUAUUACUUGUCGAAAUAUUACAUGUAUGUAGAUGCUUUUUAAACAUAGAUACAUCCAUAUUUGAGCAAAUUUGAGACAAGUAAUAUGGAUCGGUGGGAGUAUUAGAAAUAUAUGUAAGCACAAUAAGCUUUUGCAAAAUAGGCUUAUCCUUUUUAAUCUGGCAAAGCAUGCUCGGACAAUGACAAUAGUUGCAACUUACAAGUCUAUAUGAGACCUCCAAGGUUCGUGCAUAUGUUUCUAGAAUGUGUUAUAUUUUUCUAGUAAUACUGGACCAUCAAAAAUAAUCAAAGUACAGAGUGAUUUCAAUGUUGGAGGUUGACCAAUUUACCUACACAAUGGUGAUUGUUAUAAGUACUCUAGUUGGGAUUUUACAAAGAAGUACUCUAAUAUGAACUUAUAUGGAGGAGAAACUGAAUUCACACUUCAAUUCUUCCAGGGAUUAGCUGCGACCUAUGCGUCUGCCUUUAGAGCAGUAAUACAGAGCAAAUACAAUGCAUGUAAUGAGCCAAAGACUAUCAAGACACUAAUUGCACAGAAGUAUUGCUAGAAACACUUAAAGAACGACAACAUAAAGUCAGCGAGAUCCCUUUCUAACCACAAUUGUUGAAAUGUACAUCUGUGGGACCCUAGGAUAGCCAAUUGCAUUUCCAAAUUAAGUGCUCCAUCACAUUAAACUACAGAUGAAACCAAGUUGUUUGCCAGAUUUGAGUCAAUCCUCUGCCCCCAAAUAUUCGUAAAGACAGUAAGAACAGCCUUUAUAAAAGAGAGUUCAUGGCAUAUAUUGUCUUAAUGAUAAACUAAGGGUAAACAUUUAAAGCCAGGAUGAUUACCUGAUAUGAGUGAAGCUCUCUGCCCACUAUAUCCGUAGAGAUUGAGCUUUGUAUGAACACCCUGUACAAACGGAAGAGAAAGGCGAUGUUUGGAUGUUGGAA